GAUGAACGCUGGCGGCGUGCUUAACACAUGCAAGUCGAACGAGAAAUGUAGACGGAAACCUUCGGGCGGAAGCCUUCAUUUCGAGUGGCGGACGGGUGAGUAACGCGUGGGUAACCUGCCUCAUACAGGGGGAUAACAGUUGGACACGACUGUUAAUACCGCAUAAGACCACAGCAUCGCAUGAUGCGGGGGUAAAAACUCCGGUGGUAUGAGAUGGACCCGCGUUCGAUUAGCCAGUUGGCGGGGUAACGGCCCACCAAAGCGACGAUCGAUAGCCGAUCUGAGAGGAUGACCGGACACAUUGGGACUGAGACACGGCCCAAACUCCUACGGGAGGCAGCAGUGGGGAAUAUUGCAAAGUGGGGGAAACCCUGAUGCAGCGACGCCGCGUGAGUGAAGAAGUACUUCGGUAUGUAAAGCUCUAUCAGCAGGGAAGAAAAUGACGGUACCUGAGGAAGAAGCCCCGGCUAACUACGUG
rnacentral:rRNA from 1 species